GACGAACGCUGGCGGCGCGCCUAACACAUGCAAGUCGAACGAGCGAGAGGGAGCUUGCUUUCUCGAGCGAGGGGCGAACGGGUGAGUAACGCGUGAGGAACCUGCCUUGAAGAGGGGGACAACAGUUGGAAACGACUGCUAAUACCGCAUAAGUCCACGGCUGGGAAUUGGGUCGGGGGAAAAGCAGCAAUCCGCUGUGAGAUGGCCUCGCUUCCGAUGCGAUAGUUGGUGGGGGCAGGGCCCACCACGGCGCCGCUCGGGAGCCGGAAGGAGGGGUUGAACGGCCAAAUUGGGAAUGAGACACGACCCAGACUCCUACGGGAGGCAGCAGUGGGGAAUAUUGCACAAUGGGGGAAAUCCUGAUGCAGCGACGCCGCGUGGAGGAAGAAGGUCUUCGGAUUGGAAACUCCUGUUGUUGAGGAAGAUAAUGACGGUACUAAACAAGGAAGUGACGGCUAACUACGUG
rnacentral:rRNA from 1 species